CGGUUGCUCAGUAGGCAGUGUAGAUCCUGUGUAGCAAUCAGCAGCUACAUCUGGCUACUGGGUCUCCG
rnacentral:pre_miRNA from 11 species